rfam:Mycobacterium cosmeticum, DSM 44829, WGS project CCBB01000000 data, contig: 000003
AUCCGGGUACUGCCCGGUGAACAGGGUGGGCCGGCUCGGCACACA